rnacentral:ncRNA from 2 species
GAGUCAUCCGAGGGGUGUCCGUGAUGGACUGAGAUGGCGUAUGCCGGACCCUUUGAACCUGAUCUGGGUUAUACCAGCGAAGGGACGGGUCGGCAGUUUCAC